AUUAGUUUCCCUUGGAUUUGCAGCCAAAGUAACACGAUGAGGCAACAACAAAGAGAGUUCUCUAUUGCAGUAUCCUUAUGCCUGAAAAUACAGCAACCAUUUAGCCCCAAAUAGUGGUUGCUUGCCUCCAACCGCAACACGUUCAAGAGUAAACACCAAGGUAUAGCAGUAGUUUUCCCUCAAAAGGCAGUGAAAAUGUUUUUCAUAAACGAAAAAUUUAUCAGCCCUUAAAUACAGCAAUUGACUUCCUCCAAGUGGAGCAUCUGUUUGCCUGAAAGUGCAACAACACUUUGGCCCAGGAUGCAGUGUUUUCCUUACCCUAAAAAUGAAACUCAAGAGACAGUUAUAAAAGGGAUCAGCCAGCCUAAACAACAAGAACUUAUCAGCGAUGGGUGUGGCAAACAAGCAGCAACAACUAGUCUCAUUCAAGGCAGAAAACAACAACAGGCACAUACCAAUGGACAGACAUAGCAGACCAGAGAAACCUAAUGCUCAUUAAUCCAAACAGAUUUCACACUUGUAUGAGAAUUCUGGACUUCAACAAUCUUAGAGAAUUCUAACAGGCAGUAC